UUGAUCACUUAUGACGUGUGUCUGUCUGCGAUUACAAAAUAACUUCCUAGAUAUUUGUUCUGAACGACAUUUCAUUGUAUGAUGUUAAAAAGGCCAAUAUUGUGGUUUACUCAAAAAUAAUUUGUUAUGCAUUAUUUUCUUUUAUUUUGUUGUUUUUGAAGACUAUCGAUGGUGUCUAAUCAAGGAGAUAUGCAACAAAUACCAAAACUGUUCUUAAAAUGUCAGUUAGAGAUGAAUUAAAUGCCAAGUAGAAUCGGUUAACGUCAUAAGUUUUCAACAACACCAUGAAUUUUCUUCAUACUACCCAAAACUCAUUAACAAAUAUAUUUUAUGGUUCAGUAAUCUUUCAAAAGACAUGAUACUGAUAUUUCAUAUUUAUAUUUAACAAUAAAACUUAGUUGGUGAUUAUUGGAAGUUUCGCUCACUUGGAUUAAGUAUCUUUUAUAUUUUCAGAGAUGCAAGACCAAUGAAUAAUGUCAACAGUUUCAGAAAACGAUUUCUUUAAAUACCAGUAACAAUAUUAUAUUUGUAUUUGCCGCAAGUAUCAAAGUGCCAAGACCGUAAAAUAACGCGAACAAAAAUUAACACUUACAAAACGCUCACGGACGAUUAUUUCUAUUGACUGAGCGCAGCUUAGGUGAAUGGCUAAAACUAUCGAUCCCGGAUGCCACAUUGUGACACCUUGGCAUAUUCUAUUCUAUCAUUCACCUUCGAUUCUACGUUGAACUUGUGAAUUUAAUUUGGUGGAUGAAAACUUUGUGGGAGCUAAGUCUAUCACAAGUGUUAAAAAUGUGAAAAUUGAGAAGCAAAAAGUAAGUCAGUCAAAAAGAUAAAAUGUAAUAAAAUUAAAUGAAAUUGAUUAUUGAGGAAUAUGAUAAUCAUAUUUAAUUGAUCUCUCAUUAGAAGUCAUUCCCAAAGCAACAAGUAACCAGGAAUUAAACAAGCUUGAAACAACAACCAUUUACUUUGCUGUGAGUUGAAAAAGAAAACGAAAAAUAUCUCACGUAAAACUGUUCGGGAAUUUGUGAAAACUUUAAAAAAGAACAGACCUUUAAAGAACUUAUAAUGGAAACACGAAGGUAAGCAGUUUCAUAAGACAGAUGUUUUAGUAAAAAAAAAAAAAGACCUACUAGAAAAGAAAUAUUUCUUACAGGUGAGACAACGAAAGGAGAAACAAGAAGGUGGGAAAAUGUUACACGGAAGUAUUAAUAGAAUAGUGACAAUAAAUCAGUGAUCUGGCAAUGAGCGAAGAAUUGAAGAUUAACUGCCAAAACGAGAUCAACAAUGAUUUUGAAUAUUGCUUCUACAUUUCCAUCCAUGUCUUUACGCGCAAUUUCACUUCCUACAUAAUGAAUUGUAAUCUCUUGUGAACGGGACUAUUUAAUAUGUCAAUAAGAAACAUGCAUUCACGACAUAGGUCUUCAAUAAAGAACGAUCUUUUGCUUUGAAAUUUGUGAA
rnacentral:lncRNA from 1 species